rnacentral:rRNA from 1 species
GUCUUUUAUAGAAUAUAUUUAAAAGUCUGGCCUGCCCAGUGAUUAUUUAAACGGCCGCAGUAUUUUGACUGUGCUAAGGUAGCAUAAUCAUUAGUUUUUUAAUUGAGAACUGGAAUGAAAGGUUAAAUGGAAAAAUAACUGUCUUCAAUUUAAUUUUUUGAAUUUUACUUUUAAGUAAAAAGGCUUAAAUUUUAUUAAAAGACGAGAAGACCCUUUAGAGUUUUAUUUAAAAAAUUAAAUUAAUUCGGUUGGAAAAUAUUUUAGUUUUAUUUUUAUAUUUAAUUGGGGUGAUUAUUAAAUUUAACUAACUUUAAUUUUUAAGAACAUUGAUUUAUGGAAAUUUGAUCCUAUAAAUAGAUUAAUAGAUUAAAUUACCUAAGGGAUAACAGCGUAAUUUUUUUAGAGAGUUCAAAUCGAUAAAAGAGAUUGCGACCUCGAUGUUGGAUUAAAAUAUGUAAUUAGGUGCAGAAGCUAAUUAACUUGGUCUGUUCGACCAAUAAAAUUUUACA